UCUCCCAUCCUCCUCCUCAGCUUCUCUCUCUCUCUCUCUCUCUCUGUCUUUCUCUAUAUAUAUAGCCUGUCAUUAAUUACUCAAUAUCUUUUUGCAGUAUUUUAAGAUUCAAUUUGCUGAGUCAACGAUUUCUCUAUUUGGAUCUCUGAGCAAACAAUCAGAUCUUUUCAAACUCUGCCCUUCUUGAGCUCUCACUAUAACUUGGAUAUAUAGUGCUGAGGUUUGCACUUUUGGGGAUUUCAUUCGUAGAACAAUAUGCGGUGGUCGAGUCAAUCAAUUGAUGUGUUUCGUAAAGCUAUCUCCUUGAACUUAUAUUGUAGGGUUAUUUUAUAAAUCGCUAUCCAUUCCGUCGAGUCCUAAUUUUUGCUUCCAGUCACUGAUUUCUGCAAGUCCAUGGGAUCCAAUCACUUUUGUUUCAACCCUUCUCAUAUCCGUAGGAUUAGCUGAUUGAGAAAAAGGAAGAAAAAAAAAA